rnacentral:rRNA from 1 species
UACGAGUGCGUCGAGCGUUAUCCGGAAUCAUUGGGCGUAAAGGGUGCGCAGGCGGCGGUUCGCGUGGCGAGAUGAAAUCUCCUGGCUUACCUGGGAGGGUGGUCGCCAGACGGGAUCGCUUGAGGGUCGGAGAGGGGCGUGGAAUUCCGGGUGGAGCGGUGAAAUGCGUAGAGAUCCGGAGGAACACCGACGGCGUAGGCAGCGCCCUGGACGACACCUGACGCUGAGGCACGAAAGCUGGGGGAGCGAACAGG